UAGGGGUAUUAUGUAAUGGUAGCAUUUCGGUCUCCAAAACCGCCCGUGAGGGUUCAAAUCCUUCUACCCCUGU
rnacentral:tRNA from 1 species